GAUGAACGCUGGCGGCGUGCCUAAUACAUGCAAGUCGAGCGAACGGACGAGAAGCUUGCUUCUCUGAUGUUAGCGGCGGACGGGUGAGUAACACGUGGAUAACCUACCUAUAAGACUGGGAUAACUUCGGGAAACCGGAGCUAAUACCGGAUAAUAUUUUGAACCGCAUGGUUCAAAAGUGAAAGGCGGUCUUGCUGUCACUUAUAGAUGGAUCCGCGCUGCAUUAGCUAGUUGGUAAGGUAACGGCUUACCAAGGCAACGAUGCAUAGCCGACCUGAGAGGGUGAUCGGCCACACUGGAACUGAGACACGGUCCAGCCUCCUACGGGAGGCAGCAGUAGGGAAUCUUCCGCAAUGGGCGAAAGCCUGACGGAGCAACGCGGCGUGGGUGAUGAAGGCCUUCGGAUCGUAAAACUCUGUUAUUAGGGAAGAACAUAUGUGUAAGUAACUGUGCACAUCUUGACGGUACCUAAGCAGAAAGCCACGGCUAACUACGU
rnacentral:rRNA from 1 species